UGUUUGCGCUUAGCGGGAAGGGUAAGAACCUUCGACUAAGGUUCGACUCGAGCGCCAGCGAGAGAACGUUGCCGCAGGCAAGGCCCGAAG
rnacentral:sRNA from 1 species